GCUAAUAACCUUUGUAGUUGAUGCGACAAUAAAUUAAAAAAAAAAAAUAUUGAAUUCUAUGAGUUUGAAAAUUUUUACAAGCUUCAGUAAUAUCAAAAAUCACCAGAAAUCUUAAUUAAUUAUAAUUUUAAUUUAGUGAAAUAUUUGGAUAAUGUAUCAUGUCCUUUAUGACUUAUAUUAAUAUCAUAGUUAUUGAAAAAUUUGAAAAAUUCGAUAAUUGUUGGGAAAGUCCUUAUACAUAUGGUAAGGAAAAAUGUUUUAUGUUUCAGUGCAUGAAAUUUGAAUUCACCUAAAUAAUAGUUAAUCCAUUUGACAUUUUAUUGCAGUAGGUUUCAAUGAAUCAAUGAUGAAGAAUUAUGAUUCAAGAGGAUCCUAGACUCUUAUCAGUUGGAAUUUUUGAAACCGUUGGUGACAUCCAUUCUGAACACUCUUUACACGAUACCAACACUCACAAUUUCACCGUGUGGCGCGCAUUUAGAUAACCAAAUUAUCGUCUCCAGAGACUGAAGAUAAACAAUUUAUCUUCUGAAGACGAUAACUUGGUUAUCAAAACGCGCGUCAUAUGGUGAAAUUUGAGUGAUGGUGUAGUGGUACUGUGAAGAGUGUGUUCACUACCUGAACUCUUAUGCACAUUUUUAGAACAGAAGAAACUACAUUUCAUUGAUGAAAGUUUGAUAAGGAGGCGUAAUGUACAGGUUACCAAAUUCAGAAUCAAGGUCGAUGAAUGUUUAGCGGCGGAAUUAAGAACAGUGUAAUUGUUAGCAUUUGGAUUUUUAAUGGGGACCUUGAUAGGGUGAACAACCUAAAAUUUUUGCACAACAAACUUCCACUACUUGUAUCUACUUAAUACUAAAACAUUCUAGUUCAUGUGAAGUGGGCAUGAAAAGAAAUAUUAUGUUGGCGGCUCAUUCUUUACCGAUGGAAAAUUAAUUAUUCUAUUAUAUUAACUUAUAAUAAACUUGGAUACUUUUUAUUACAUGGUUAAAUCGCACUUUAAAAAUGGUAAACACUUUGAAAUAAACUAUUUAUUUAACAGA